CCCUAGCCCUGAUGGAAACGGCAUCCUUUUUCUUGUCUCGUUUUUUGGAACGAGACAAGAAAAAGAUAGAGUGUCCCGAUAGCUAUCGGGAAGCAGG
rnacentral:sRNA from 1 species